UACGUAGGUGGCAAGCGUUGUCCGGAUUUACUGGGUGUAAAGGGCGUGCAGCCGGGAAGACAAGUCAGAUGUGAAAUCCCGCGGCUCAACCGCGGAACUGCAUUUGAAACUGUUUUUCUUGAGUAACGGAGAGGUAAUCGGAAUUCCUAGUGUAGCGGUGAAAUGCGUAGAUAUUAGGAAGAACACCAGUGGCGAAGGCGGAUUACUGGACGACAACUGACGGUGAGGCGCGAAAGCGUGGGGAGCAAACAGG
rnacentral:rRNA from 1 species